CGUCGCCAAAAAAAAAAAAAAAAAACAACUCUAUUAUUAUAAAAUCUCUCUCCAUCACCUUUGAAUUAUUUAUUCGUCAAAAAAAAAAUUGAUUAGAACAUUCAUCGAAACAAGCUUAAGAUGGCAGCUUUGAUCAAGAAGCUAUCGAUUGGAUUCCUUGUUAUGUUGCUGGUGACAUUAAUUGCACAAUCUAGCUUCGCAGAUUCAGACAAGGAAUUAGAUCUUGGAAGUAUUUUUGAGGCUGAGCUUCGAGGGACAGAAUUUGAAGAUUUUAAGGUUGGAAUGCCACUUUAUAGGGUUAAAGGCAAGCCUGGUAUAUUAAUACCCGCCUCUAAGCUUGAGUCAUCAGCGCAUAAACUUGCAGAGUUGCCAUAAAAUUGUGCAUACAUAGUAUGAGUGGUGCAGUACUUCUAUCUAACCAUGUUGUGAAAAACAUGAAUCAUAUCUCCUUUGAGGCUGGAAACAAUAACCACGUCAAGGAUUCAGCUACUGGCGAAUUCUAAUUCUCAAAUCACAUUGCAAGUAUUUCUAUCGAAUAAUGAUAUAUAUCAUACUAUUAUCUUGUUAUAUAAGAUGUGACAUAUUUAUCACAAUUGAAUAAUUAUGUUAUAUUUUAUAUAGUGAAUAAAAAUAAAAUGGUAGUGUAAUGUAUAAAA